rnacentral:rRNA from 1 species
UGGGGAAUAUUGGACAAUGGGCGGAAGCCUGAUCCAGCCAUGCCGCGUGUGUGAAGAAGGCCUUUUGGUUGUAAAGCACUUUAAGCGAGGAGGACGCUACUUGGAUUAAUACUCUAGGAUAGUGGACGUUACUCGCAGAAUAAGCACCGGCUAACUCUGUGCCAGCAGCCGCGGUAAUACAGAGGGUGCGAGCGUUAAUCGGAUUUACUGGGCGUAAAGCGUGCGUAGGCGGCUUCUUAAGUCGGAUGUGAAAUCCCUGAGCUUAACUUAGGAAUUGCAUUCGAUACUGGGAAGCUAGAGUAUGGGAGAGGAUGGUAGAAUUCCAGGUGUAGCGGUGAAAUGCGUAGAGAUCUGGAGGAAUACCGAUGGCGAAGGCAGCCAUCUGGCCUAAUACUGACGCUGAGGUACGAAAGCAUGGGGAGCAAACAGG